UAGCUACGAAAAACAUUCGUCGUUAGUUUUUUCAAAAGACAAUUUCGUAGAUAGUAUAUUUUUAGGGCAUUGACAUAACUUGUAUUCUCUCUCUGCCUCUUAGCCGUAAGUGCUCUGGUCUUUUUCUUUUCAAGUUUUAAUCUAGGGUUUCAGGAUAAGGGAGUGCCAUGGCUAGCGUAUAAUAGCUUACAAUUCCAUCCAGUCCCUACUAGGCCUUUCACUACCGAGGCCCUCUCCUUGUUCUAUUUCAGCUUUCAGCUCUUUUGACUUCACAACCAUGGCCGAACAGAAUCCCCUCUCUCUUUCUCUCAGUCACUUGCUCGCUUGGAAAUCUGAGUGAUUUAUUAUUGUAUUGUUGCAUACAAGAAAGCAUUCUUGAAGCAGCUAGGUAAAUACAUCUUCAUGUGUUAGGUCUUAUACAUUUUUUAGGCUAAGGUUAGUCAUAUUUGUGUGAAUGACAGCUCAAAGAAAAAAAAAAAAAACAAGGAAGGGAGGCAACCAUUAUUUUUAGAGCAUUGGUCUAGGCUUCCAGACUCCUCGAGAGGCUGUUGAAGAGCUUGAAGCAGAAAGAGUACAAGAGUUGUGUUGAUAAGCUAAAUCUUGAUGAAACCCUUUAUGAUGAUACCUCAAGAAUUGUUAGAGCAACAUUGAUUACACAACAAGAAUGACAGUAGGAUGAGAUGGAUGUUGCAACUUGGAUGUAUUACGAGUCCGUGGGAGGAGAGAUGGAGAGAAGAGUUUAUGGCCUUGGGUCUUAAGGGAAACACGAUUAUGGCAUCACUCUCAAGCACCAUUAGUUAGCUUUGUCUUUCAAACUCUAUUAUAUUAGUUGAAGAAUAACUAUGGACGUCUUUAAAGCUUUAGGAUUUCUGUAUUUUUGGAUCUACGAUACUAUUUAUAUGAAAUUAGUUUCUUGUGAUGCUUAUUAAA